rnacentral:rRNA from 1 species
UACGUAGGGUGCGAGCGUUGUCCGGAAUUAUUGGGCGUAAAGGGCUCGUAGGCGGUCUGUUGCGUCAGGAGUGAAAACUCGGGGCUUAACCCCGAGCCUGCUUCUGAUACGGGCAGACUAGAGGUAUGCAGGGGAGAACGGAAUUCCUGGUGUAGCGGUGAAAUGCGUAGAUAUUGGGAGGAACACCAGUGGCGAAGGCGGCUACCUGGACCGGUACUGACGCUGAGGCGCGAAAGCGUGGGUAGCAAACAGG